CGGCGGACGGGUGAGUAACGCGUGGGUAACCGUGCCUCAUACAGGGGGAUAACAGUUGGAAACGGCUGCUAAUACCGCAUAAGCGCACAGUACCGCAUGGUACGGUGUGAAAAACUCCGGUGGUAUGAGAUGGUCCCGCGUCUGAUUAGGUAGUUGGUGGGGUAACGGCCUACCAAGCCGACGAUCAGUAGCCGACCUGAGAGGGUGACCGGCCACAUUGGGACUGAGACACGGCCCAA
rnacentral:rRNA from 1 species